GACGAACGCUGGCGGCGUGCUUAACACAUGCAAGUCGAACGGAAAGGCCUCUUUCGGGGGGUACUCGAGUGGCGAACGGGUGAGUAACACGUGAGUAACCUGCCCUUGACUUUGGGAUAACUUCAGGAAACUGGGGCUAAUACCGGAUAGGAGCUCCUGCUGCAUGGUGGGGGUUGGAAAGUUUCGGCGGUUGGGGAUGGACUCGCGGCUUAUCAGCUUGUUGGUGGGGUAGUGGCUUACCAAGGCUUUGACGGGUAGCCGGCCUGAGAGGGUGACCGGCCACAUUGGGACUGAGAUACGGCCCAGACUCCUACGGGAGGCAGCAGGGGGGAAUAGUGCACAAUGGGUGGAAGCCGGAUGCAGCAACGCCGUGGGCGGGAUGACGGCCUUCGGGUUGUAAACCGCUUUCGCUCAUGACGAAGCUUUGUGUGACGGUAGUGGGUAAAGAAGCACCGGCUAACUACGUG
rnacentral:rRNA from 1 species